UUUGGUUAAGUUAGAAAGGGCGCACGGUGGAUGCCUUGACACUAGGAGUCGAUGAAGGACGGGACUAACGCCGAUAUGCUUCGGGGAGCUGUAAGUAAGCUUUGAUCCGAAGAUUUCCGAAUGGGGAAACCCACCAUACGUAAUGGUAUGGUAUCCUUAUCUGAAUACAUAGGGUAAGGAAGACAGACCCAGGGAACUGAAACAUCUAAGUACCUGGAGGAAGAGAAAGCAAAUGCGCUUUCCUGAGUAGCGGCGAGCGAAACGGAACAUAGCCCAAACCAAGAGGCUUGCCUCUUGGGGUUGUAGGACAUUCUAUACGGAGUUACAAAGGAACGAGGUAGACGAAGCGACCUGGAAAGGUCCGUCGUAGAGGGUAACAACCCCGUAGUCGAAACUUCGUUCUCUCUUGAAUGUAUCCUGAGUACGGCGGAACACGUGAAAUUCCGUCGGAAUCUGGGAGGACCAUCUCCCAAGGCUAAAUACUCCCUAGUGAUCGAUAGUGAACCAGUACCGUGAGGGAAAGGUGAAAAGCACCCCGGAAGGGGAGUGAAAGAGAUCCUGAAACCGUGUGCCUACAAAUAGUCAGAGCCCGUUAACGGGUGAUGGCGUGCCUUUUGUAGAAUGAACCGGCGAGUUACGAUCCCGUGCGAGGUUAAGCUGAAGAGGCGGAGCCGCAGCGAAAGCGAGUCUGAAUAGGGCGUUUAGUACGUGGUCGUAGACCCGAAACCAGGUGAUCUACCCAUGUCCAGGGUGAAGUUCAGGUAACACUGAAUGGAGGCCCGAACCCACGCACGUUGAAAAGUGCGGGGAUGAGGUGUGGGUAGCGGAGAAAUUCCAAUCGAACCUGGAGAUAGCUGGUUCUCCCCGAAAUAGCUUUAGGGCUAGCCUUAAGUGUAAGAGUCUUGGAGGUAGAGCACUGAUUGGACUAGGGGUCCUCAUCGGAUUACCGAAUUCAGUCAAACUCCGAAUGCCAAUGACUUAUCCUUAGGAGUCAGACUGCGAGUGAUAAGAUCCGUAGUCAAAAGGGAAACAGCCCAGACCGCCAGCUAAGGUCCCAAAGUGUGUAUUAAGUGGAAAAGGAUGUGGAGUUGCUUAGACAACUAGGAUGUUGGCUUAGAAGCAGCCACCAUUUAAAGAGUGCGUAAUAGCUCACUAGUCGAGUGACUCUGCGCCGAAAAUGUACCGGGGCUAAAUACACCACCGAAGCUGCGGAUUGAUACCAAUGGUAUCAGUGGUAGGGGAGCGUUCUAAGGACAGUGAAGUCAGACCGGAAGGACUGGUGGAGUGCUUAGAAGUGAGAAUGCCGGUAUGAGUAGCGAAAGACGGGUGAGAAUCCCGUCCACCGAAUGCCUAAGGUUUCCUGAGGAAGGCUCGUCCGCUCAGGGUUAGUCAGGACCUAAGCCGAGGCCGACAGGCGUAGGCGAUGGACAACAGGUUGAUAUUCCUGUACCACCUCUUUAUCGUUUGAGCAAUGGAGGGACGCAGAAGGAUAGAAGAAGCGUGCGAUUGGUUGUGCACGUCCAAGCAGUUAGGCUGAUAAGUAGGCAAAUCCGCUUAUCGUGAAGGCUGAGCUGUGAUGGGGAAGCUCCUUAUGGAGCGAAGUCUUUGAUUCCCCGCUGCCAAGAAAAGCUUCUAGCGAGAUAAAAGGUGCCUGUACCGCAAACCGACACAGGUAGGCGAGGAGAGAAUCCUAAGGUGUGCGAGAGAACUCUGGUUAAGGAACUCGGCAAAAUGACCCCGUAACUUCGGGAGAAGGGGUGCUUUCUUAACGGAAAGCCGCAGUGAAUAGGCCCAAGCGACUGUUUAGCAAAAACACAGCUCUCUGCGAAGCCGUAAGGCGAAGUAUAGGGGGUGACACCUGCCCGGUGCUGGAAGGUUAAGGAGAGGGGUUAGCGUAAGCGAAGCUCUGAACUGAAGCCCCAGUAAACGGCGGCCGUAACUAUAACGGUCCUAAGGUAGCGAAAUUCCUUGUCGGGUAAGUUCCGACCCGCACGAAAGGUGUAACGAUUUGGGCACUGUCUCAACCAGAGACUCGGUGAAAUUAUAGUACCUGUGAAGAUGCAGGUUACCCGCGACAGGACGGAAAGACCCCGUGGAGCUUUACUGUAGCCUGAUAUUGAAUUUUGGUACAGUUUGUACAGGAUAGGCGGGAGCCUUUGAAACCGGAGCGCUAGCUUCGGUGGAGGCGCUGGUGGGAUACCGCCCUGACUGUAUUGAAAUUCUAACCUACGGGUCUUAUCGACCCGGGAGACAGUGUCAGGUGGGCAGUUUGACUGGGGCGGUCGCCUCCUAAAGUGGAACGGAGGGGCCCAAAGGUUCCCUCAGAAUGGUUGGAAAUCAUUCGUAGAGUGCAAAGGCAUAAGGGAGCUUGACUGCGAGACCUACAAGUCGAGCAGGGACGAAAGUCGGGCUUAGUGAUCCGGUGGUUCCGCAUGGAAGGGCCAUCGCUCAACGGAUAAAAGCUACCCCGGGGAUAACAGGCUUAUCUCCCCCAAGAGUCCACAUCGACGGGGAGGUUUGGCACCUCGAUGUCGGCUCAUCGCAUCCUGGGGCUGUAGUCGGUCCCAAGGGUUGGGCUGUUCGCCCAUUAAAGCGGUACGCGAGCUGGGUUCAGAACGUCGUGAGACAGUUCGGUCCCUAUCCGUCGUGGGCGUAGGAAAUUUGAGAGGAGCUGUCCUUAGUACGAGAGGACCGGGAUGGACGCACCGCUGGUGUACCAGUUGUUCUGCCAAGGGCAUAGCUGGGUAGCUAUGUGCGGAAGGGAUAAGUGCUGAAAGCAUCUAAGCAUGAAGCCCCCCUCAAGAUGAGAUUUCCCAUAGCGUAAGCUAGUAAGAUCCCUGAAAGAUGAUCAGGUUGAUAGGUUCGAGGUGGAAGCAUGGUGACAUGUGGAGCUGACGAAUACUAAUAGAUCGAGGACUUAACCAUAUAA
rnacentral:rRNA from 1 species